rnacentral:rRNA from 1 species
UUUUAAUUUUUAUUAAAAGUAAUUAUUUUUAAUAAAGAUUUUAUUGGGGUGAUAAAAAAAUUUAGAAAACUUUUUUAAUAUUAUUCAUAAAUUUAUGUAAAUAUAUUUAAAUUUUAAUUUUAAAAAAAUAAAGCAAAA